rnacentral:rRNA from 1 species
UACUUUAUUGAAACUUCGGUCGAUUUAAUUUAGUUCUAGUGGCGGACGGGUGAGUAACGCGUGGGUAACCUGCCUUAUACAGGGGGAUAACAGUCAGAAAUGGCUGCUAAUACCGCAUAAGCGCACAGAGCUGCAUGGCUCAGUGUGAAAAACUCCGGUGGUAUAAGAUGGACCCGCGUUGGAUUAGCUAGUUGGUGGGGUAACGGCCCACCAAGGCGACGAUCCAUAGCCGGCCUGAGAGGGUGAACGGCCACAUUGGGACUGAGACACGGCCCAGACUCCUACGGGAGGCAGCAGUGGGGAAUAUUGCACAAUGGGGGAAACUCUGAUGCAGCGACGCCGCGUGAAGGAAGAAGUAUCUCGGUAUGUAAACUUCUAUCAGCAGGGAAGAUAGUGACGGUACCUGACUAAGAAGCCCCGGCUAACUACGUGCCAGCAGCCGCGGUAAUACGUAGGGGGCAAGCGUUAUCCGGAUUUACUGGGUGUAAAGGGAGCGUAGACGGUGUGGCAAGUCUGAUGUGAAAGGCAUGGGCUCAACCUGUGGACUGCAUUGGAAACUGUCAUACUUGAGUGCCGGAGGGGUAAGCGGAAUUCCUAGUGUAGCGGUGAAAUGCGUAGAUAUUAGGAGGACACCAGUGGCGAAGGCGGCUUACUGGACGGUAACUGACGUUGAGGCUCGA